GAAGCACACAGCGCUCAGCCUACGUCACGCAGCCUCCCUCCCAAUCAUGCCCUGUGGAUGAGUUUCCUUUGUGUCGCUCAGGGCUUGGGGGAAGCGUGUCAAUUCCAUUUCCAGGACGCCCUGGCUCCUAGCAUACUAAGUGAAGAUGUGUGGACAGAGGGAUGUACUGUGGGACACACGUGACACACUAUGCUUCCAUGAUGAGGCCCAGAGUGGUGGAAGAUUUCUGCAGGUUGGAGGCCAGCCUGGUCUACACAGCAAGUUAUAUGGAGACCUUGUCUCAAGAAACAAACCAAAGACGACGACAGCAACAGAAUCUAAGAAACAAUCAAACAGAAUCUACAAUUUCUUAGGGUUUCUCAAGGUCUGAACACAUAGCAGUUGUUUGGCUGACAACACCAUCUUCGAUAAAAUCCUUGAAGAAGCAGGCUUGUUUAGGAGACACAGCUGCUUUCAUUCAAGUUGGCCGUGAUCCAACUAGAGGGCCCAGCUCCCCCGUGCUUCUUAGCUAUCAGAACACAUACAAGGAGCCUUGAACGUACUGCCGCAGAGCCUGGCCCUUGCAACAAGAAGAUGUGUUGUCUGCCAUCUGCCAUGAAGUUGAAAUUUGACUUAGCAAUCUAGUUGACUUACAUGAAGAUGGUUCUAUCAAAAUCUUUCCCUGAGUCUAGAUGGUCUCUCCAGAAACUGAGUCUCUGUUCUAGCUCUCAGUCUUCAUGGAGAAAAAUUAACACAGUCCAAGACAAAGUAUUAUGGUGCCCACGAUCUUGGAUUAUACUGCAGAGAAACAGAGCAUCGAUGCCAAGUCUUAGGAGGAGGAGGAGGAGGAGGAGGAGGAGGAGGAGGAGGAGGAGGAGGAAAGAACCAAAUACCAACGCACUCCUACACAGCACAGCCUUUGAAUGGAUGAGAAAUAGAAAUUGCAAGUACAGACUGUUUAGAAAAGAUUGACUAGAAUACUCAUUCUACAGUGAGAAGGCUGAGCCCAUGCACAGAAGGUGGGUUUCUAAAGCUUUAGUAACUGAACAUGAAGAAAAAAAAAAAACUAUAAAGAAAUAGUUCAAUCGGAACUUUAAAAGACUGCCAAGAGAACACGACCAAGUUAAAUAGAAGGAACUGACAAAGCUUAAAGCAGAAAUGGGCGGUCAGAAAAGAGAAAACCAAAUCCCAGACACACACCCACACGCACACACAUACCACACACAUUUCAGAACGAAUAAAUCUUGAAGAGAGAGAGACUGAGCCACAGUGUCACAGGGAGGAAUCUGAGGUGUGGUUGGGCUGUCUGUGUUAGUCUUUAUAAAUUGAAACAACAACAAAACCCGGAACAUCAGGCAAAGAAAACAUCCGCCCCACGCGUGCACUAAGCCGAAUUGCAGCUCCAGCCUGAGACAGUGCCGAAGGGACUUGCACACACCUGUACCGGCACAUGUGUGAGAGAACAAGCCUUACAGGUGAUGUCGUGAGGUGAAAACACGGCCAGCGGAGACUGGAGUGAACCUCGGAGAGGAGGGGCAUCUGUCUCUUCUUGUAACCCCGUCUUGCUCUGCACACGCACAACGCACCAGUGACUGGACCCAAGGAAUUAAAACACUAAAGAAUCAGACGGGGCAAGGAUGGACCCUUAUGUUUGGUGGUUUCUUUAAUCUUAGCACCCAGGAGGCUGAGGCAUGGGGGUUGUGAGCUCUAGGCCAGCUGGGGUUGUAUAGCAAAACCCUGUCAAAGAAAAAAAAGAAAAAGAAAAAAGAACUUUUAAGAUAAGUAGGAUGGAGACUCCUGAGGUAUGGUGAUUAUUAAAAUUAACAAUGGAAGUGAGCUGCAGCACGUAAGAGGGGCAAGGGGGAGAUCUGCAGGCCAGCCAUGUGAUCAUCAUUCGACACCUGAAGUGCUGGCCAACUCCGCUCUGUUCAACAGGAAAUGCAAAGGAAGAGAGAGAGAGAGAGAGAGAGAGAGAGAGAGAGAGAGAGAGAGCGGGAUUAUCAGGGAGUGGGAAUCUAUUAAAAUAUCACCAUCCGUGAGUGUGAAUCAUUUCCGCAGCCAGCUUAAAAGCUUCUCCAGCGACCCCUGCACAAGCCGAGUGUGUCCUGACUGCCAAGCCUCUGCUGAGUGCUUCGCUGGCACAAUUCCAUUCAAACCCCAAGACCCUGGUAAGGUGCAUCUGUCACUGUCUCUGUUUGUCAGAUGAGGAGACUGUGUCCCAGUUCCAAGGGGCUUCCGCUGGCAGCCCUGGGAGAGGCAGGAGAGGCCGGAUCCAGCGAGCCGUCUGUGCCGCGGCCGCGCCUCAUUGGCGGAGGGGGCUCUUCCCACAGGACUCCGGCCUACGGCGCACAUAUGUUUAAAUGUAACGGUGUCUGUCCAGACCCUCAGCAGCCGGGCUGGAAAAAUCGGGGGAAAGCACAUUCUAGGCACCAUGGUAACCGUGGCGUUAUGUAUUAGUAAACAGUAUGUGUUAAAAACAGUACAAGGGAAACACAGAAUCGCUCUUGAGAGGCAAAGAGAAAGAAGGCAUGCACGGAGCAAUGUGCUCACUUACAGCCUGGAAAUUAUUCUCCUAAUAUUCCACUUACCCUAGGGGCUUGCUGUGUAGCCCAGGCGGACCUCAAACUCGGGAUCUUCUUGCCUCAGCACCCUGAGCACUGGAAUUACAGUAUGUUCUGUGAUGUGCUCCUAUAAAUUAAUGUUUUUGUCAAUGCAACAUUGUUGUUAUUUAUCUGUUUUGUAGCAGUGGGAUUUGAACCCGGGACCUACGCCAUGAAAGUGUUCUAUCACCCAAACCAUUACUAAGCCCUUGAAAUCAUUCUCUUAAGAAAAUUACUUAACUUCAAAAUUUUACCACAUGGAAUAAAUCCGAGUGUGACAGACAUUUUUUGGAAUUAAGUGUUACUUGCUAGCUCACUCUCUCUCUUCCUUCCUCCCUUUUGGUCUCUUAGAUAAAGACAGACACCGGCCGUGGCCCUGGCUUCUGCUGGAUCACAGAGACAUAUUAGUAAAACUCUUAGGAAUCUUUUGUGCUACUCAAUAAAGAGCUAUUACUAAAAAUUAAAUUGCAUGAACUGGGUUCAGUGGGCAAAGGUGCUAGCUGACAAGCCUGGUGACCUGAGUUCAGUCCCCGGCACCCCCCGGUGAAAGGAGAGAA